UUUUUUAUUUUUUACUUCCACUCUAGAACUACUGGCUCCCUGGGAUGACUGUUCUUCAUCUGACCUGACCUUCUCUGGCAAACCAUCAAGCUGAAAUGGGGGAAUGGAUCUUUCCCUAAGACCCUGAGGAUUUCAAUACCUGAUCCAAAAAAUCAUCCACUGUGUAUUGAGGAAAUCUUUCAGGGUAUAGAAACACUGAAGAACCAAACUGCUGAAGAAAAUGUGGCAGAAAAAAUCUUUCAAAACUUCUCUUCUUUAAAAGAAUACAUUACUGCCAAAGAAAAACAGUGUGGGGGAGAAAGAAGAAAAGUAGAGCAGUUCCUGGACUACCUGGAAGACUUUCUUAGGACAGUAAACACUGAGUGGACGAUAGAGAGUGGGGAGUGAAAAGGGAGGCUGGAUGGAUGAUUUGAACAAGCCCUGCCCCUGCCAUUUUGGACACAGAAGACUUCUGAAGCUCUUCCAAAUUAAAUUAAAUCAUUUGGUCAUCACAAUAUUUAUGCAGAACAGAAUAUCUUCAUUUUUACUUUCAUGAUCCUUUUUUCUUAUUUCUUCUUCAUAUAUUCAAAUAUUAGUUUUGCCCAACAGAAUUUUUGGAAAAUUGUGGAGAUAAAUUGAUUCCUCAAAAAAAUGCUGAGUAAAGUGGUAUCCAAAUAACACCAUCUGACCCAACAGGACAUUGACUGGUAAUUUUAUCUGCCUGCUUUCAGCUCCCAAAUGCAGCUAUGAUGUCUAUUUCUAUUUGGUGUUUUCCUCAUGGCUUGCAUGUUCAAUGACAGCAACCUUGGCUACAGAUUGUGGUGACAUUUGUCACCACAUUGUCUCAAGAACUGACAUGGUCAUAUGUUAUUUAUUAUUCACUUUGAUACAUUUAAAUGUAGUGCCUGUAUUGGUCUGAGAACCCUUCCAGGUUGUUAUUUGUUGCUUAACUCUCUGAGUCUCAGGGUCUUCAAUUGUAAAGCAAUGGGGCUGUAAUGUAAGCUAACAUAAGAGUAAAAAGCAACUGAAUGCAAUGUACCUAGCCACAAUGACUAAUUUUUCAGAUGAGAAAUGAGGAAAAUUCUUCCUCUCUUUAGGGAGUCCAGAGACAAUAGGUUUGGUAUUUCAAAAGAUACUGUCAGAAAUUAUUGAGGUAUUGGUUGUUUUUGCUUAACUUUAAUACCAGAGAAGAUUCAUUGAACAGAGGUGAGGGUGUGUUUGUGCAUGAAUAAAUAUGCCCCAAAAUAAAUGUAAUAGAAAAAUUAAAAAACAUCAAUAAAACUUUGUUUUUAAUUAGAG